rnacentral:rRNA from 1 species
CCUACGGGUGGCAGCAGUGAGGAAUAUUGCGCAAUGGGCGAAAGCCUGACGCAGCGACGCCGCGUGAGGGAUUAAGGCCCUGCGGGUCGUAAACCUCUUUUGCCGGGGAGCAGAGGUCCGGACGUGUCCGGGCCGGGAGAGUACCCGGAGAAAAAGCAUCGGCUAACUCCGUGCCAGCAGCCGCGGUAAUACGGGGGAUGCGAGCGUUAUCCGGAUUUAUUGGGUUUAAAGGGUGCGUAGGCGGGCAUUUAAGCCGGCGGUCAAAUGUCGGGGCUCAACCCCGGCCUGCCGUCGGAACGGGGUGCCUUGAGUGGGCGAGAAGUAUGCGGAAUGCGUGGUGUAGCGGUGAAAUGCAUAGAUAUCACGCAGAACCCCGAUUGCGAAGGCAGCAUACCGGCGCCCUACUGACGCUGAGGCACGAAAGUGCGGGUAUCGAACAGGAUUAGAUACCCGAGUAGUC